CGGUCGUUGCCAACAGUGAUCCGCAAGCUUUGUUCCACUGAAGAUUCAGAACGGAGUCCAGGAGAUCGCCUCUGCAGGGACAAAACAUAAGGAAAUAGUCCAUUCAUCCAUGACCAAAAACCCAGGGAACCCUGCUCAUGACCUUUCACAUGUACAUCAUCACACAGAACCACUCAAGGAAAUGGAAAUUCUGUCACUGGGAUUCAAGACAGACCUCUCAGAAUAAAGAGAAAGAGAAAAGACUGGAGGAAUACCACUUUUUCCUUUUCUGCUGGGAAGCCUGGCAAGACAAGAGCUGUCUAUCCCAAGCCCCGGGGGGUGGCUGAAGCCCCAAAUGACUGCAGUGCCUCCAAGGCAGGAUUGCUCAGGAAAAUAAACCACUGCACUGCCAUUAC